rnacentral:rRNA from 1 species
GAUGAACGCUAGCGGCAGGCCUAACACAUGCAAGUCGAGGGGUAACAUAGAAAAGCUUGCUUUUCUGAUGACGACGGGCGCACGGGUGCGUAACGCGUAUACAACCUACCUUUUAGCGGGGAAUAGCCCAGGGAAACUUGGAUUAAUGCCUCAUAGUAUAUAAGCUUCUCCUGAAGUUUAUAUUAAACAUUUAUGGCUAUUAGAUGGGUAUGCGUCCUAUUAGUUAGUUGGUAAGGUAACGGCUUACCAAGGCAGCGAUAGGUAGGGGUCCUGAGAGGGAGAUCCCCACACUGGUACUGAGACACGGACCAGACUCCUACGGGAGGCAGCAGUGAGGAAUAUUGGACAAUGGGCGAGAGCCUGAUCCAGCCAUGCCGCGUGCAGGAAGACUGCCCUAUGGGUUGUAAACUGCUUUUACAGAGGAAGAACCACCCCCACGUGUGGGGGUUUGACGGUACUCUGCGAAUAAGGAUCGGCUAACUCCGUG